AGCUUAUCUUCAGACCACAGCCACCAGAAAAGAUGUCAGAAGUUUCCACAGUGCAGGGCACAAAGAGAGUCAUUGUGCAGGGACAGCUGGCACCUCGUGGGACAUUGUCAACGUGACACGGCACAGAGCAAACCCCCGAGCCUUCCACUUCCAGCAGCUACAAGGCACUAUGCAUCGCCUCCUCUACACGCAAAGACGCUGAGAACUGGAUCAUCUGCCUUCAUUAUUCUUAUGGGAGCACAGAAGGAUCUGAAAACUGUGGUCAAGCCAGACGCUAAGCCCACUCGGAUAAUACACCUUUUAUUGAAGGCUCUUGCUCCUCUUGUGGUUCCCGCGUGGCUGUGACUCUUGGCAAAUCUGAUGCAGCGUGAGGGUUGCUGGCCACACUUUUGGCUGCUCUUGCCUUUGCUGGAGAAAGCAUCUGUCAAGAGACAUUACCUUUUGCUGACCUUGGCUCAGUCACUGCAAAGACAUCAGAUGAACUAUGCUAUCUUCUAUGCUCGUAUGCCUGGCAUAUACCCAUGGAAGGUGCUUCUCUCUCUUGAGUCAAUAGUAGCCAUCUGGUAUCAGCUUUUCUGCAUAUAAGAAGGCUCAUUUUUUGCUCUUUUACAUGCAAAAAUAAGCUGAAGUGGCAGCUUAGCAGUAGUGGAAUGACAUCCUAGUGUUAAAAUAGGGAAUCUUUGAAAACGCAUUAAAUAAGCAACAGUUGGAUGAGCUCUCUGGGCAAUAAAAUUGAUAAAGAAGCAUAUGAGGUAACAGCCAAGUGCUUGUGUGAGAGUACGACUUUGAUAAAAUGCAGGCACCUGUUUCUUCUGAACAUCUCUGGAUCUGGAAAUGGGAGUUAUUGAUAGCACUGAAGGCGUUGACAGUAAUUCAAAGGUGUAAAGGAAUGUCAAGUGCUGAUUGUGAUUUCUGUGCUUUUCUGUUGGGUGAGCUCAGUCCACUCACACUCUUAACUGAUCCUGAAUAGCAACGUGCCUGAGGUAUUUGUCUCUCGGAAAGGUGAGGGUGAAUCUCUGUUACUCAAAAAUGACUUUCAAACUAUUGCUGAAGGUGUUCAGCAGGAAAAGAGAUUUGCCAUUGGUGUCGUCUUACUGUAGACAUAUAAAAAUGCGGAAGAGUGGAAGCAGGUUGCAGAGCAUGAAAUUCAGACUGAUUAAAAAUUGUUUC
rnacentral:lncRNA from 1 species